rnacentral:tRNA from 1 species
AGGACCCUAGUAAAAUAGUAUAUUACACUGCCUUGUCAAGACAGAAUUGUAGGUUAGAUCCCUGCGGAUCCUG